rnacentral:rRNA from 1 species
UACGUAGGGUGCAAGCGUUGUCCGGAAUUAUUGGGCGUAAAGAGCUCGUAGGCGGUUUGUUGCGUCGGCUGUGAAAUCCCGAGGCUCAACCUCGGGUCUGCAGUCGAUACGAGCAAACUAGAGUGUUGCAGGGGAGACUGGAAUUCCUGGUGUAGCGGUGAAAUGCGGCAGAUAUCAGGAGGAACACCGGUGGCGAAGGCGGGUCUCUGGGCAACAACUGACGCUGAGGAGCGAAAGCGUGGGGGAGCGA